AAAGGUUGAAGGGUCAAAAGUGAAACUUUGAUUAAAAUCACAAGCGAGUCAUCUACAAAAGCAGAAGUCCACUGCAGAAACGAGGGUUUGGGGUUUCCCCGAAAGCUCAGACAACGCUAGAGAAGGAGGCGGCAUUGGGAAGGGUUGGGUGUUGCCCCCCAUCCGCGGCCCAUGAUCUCCGAUUUCCCCCCUGAAAUUCAACACCCUUACAUCUGGGAUCAAACUCCGAUCUUCUGAUCUUCCGAUUGCUUGUUGACUGGACUACUCUGUUUCUUCAGUAAUUUUUUCUUUUUGGGUAAAUUACACUUUUCGUCCUUUAUGUUUGUUCUUCGUUGUGAGUUACAACAGCAAUCAUUAGAGGCGAUGAUGAUGAUGAUGAAUUUGUCGUUGUUGUGUGAGUGAAUGGAACGAAGGUUGAGACUUACCGUAUCUUGGCGGGGUAAUCUCCGGAGGCUUGGCGGUGGUUUUCACCGUUUUGAAGCAGCCGCGUUGUUUGCAGCCAUGGCGGUUCGUUCCUCUUUCUUCUCCUUAUCUAUAUCUAUACUAUAUAUAUAAGCAUAUCCAAAGGACAGAAAUGGUCAUUUGUCACUUUUUCUCUUUCUUUAACAUUGUGAGUUACAACAACAAUCAUUAGAGGCGAUGAUGAUGAUGAAUUUGUGGUUGUUGUCUGAGUGAAUGGAACGAAGGUUGAGACUUACCGUAUCUUGGCGGGGUAAUCUCCGGAGGUUUCAAGGUAUAAAUUGGAGUUUUUACCGUUGAAGCAGCCGUGAUGUUUGCAGCCAUGGCGGUUCGUUCGUAUUUGUUCUCAAUAUUAUUAUUAACACAUCUGAGCCUCUCUUAAUUCUUCUUAUUUUUCAUAUUUCCGUUUGAUUUUUUAUCACUCAAUACAAGUUUUGGAUUUAGGGUUUUGACUUUUGAUAAAACUGUAUCUGGUUUACCAAUUAACAAUAUGUAGUGCAUAAGUUGAAAGUGAAUGAGGCUCUGGCUAGAGAGAUAUAGGUUUCAUGGGAGAGAGUUGCCUAUCUCUUGCCAUCUGAUCAACCGAUUGAAUAUGAGCCCAUGAUUUCGUAGCCUAAUGUUUGAUUAAACAAAUCUCGUCUUUAUGGGAAUGGAGAUGAUGAUGAUUAUGUUGAUGCUGCUGCUACUGUCGUUGUUCCGUAUAGAGAGGCUAUGGUGAUGGGAAUUAUUUGGAGCAAAAUCAAAAUUUACAGAUCGGAUCCACCGUAUCUUGGCUAGGCAACUCAGUCGGUAUGUAUUUGAUACAUGCAACUGUGAUUGCAGCCAUGGCGGAUUUCGACAAUAAAUUCCGAUGAUAACAUAUCUGAGCCUCAAAACCUUUAUCCUUGGAGAUAAGAUAUCUACCUAGAGGUGCACAUUUUGGUUUUUUCCCAAACCAGUUCAUGUUGGAAUUGUUUUGGUUUGGUUUGGGUCAACAAUUGUCAAAACUGGUAUUUGGUGAAACCGGUUUACAAGUGGAAAAGGAUCGGUUUGGUUUGGUUUGAAACUAGUUCUGGUUAUUAACUGGUUUCAAGGGAUAAGUUCUCAAACCGGUGGUCGGUUUGAAACGGGGACUAGUUUCACCAAAUCUGUUUCAUAAUCGGUUUUGAGUCGGGUCGGGUCGAGUCAAAACUGGUUUUUUGUUCAUGUCUACAUUUAAACCGCCUUAAAAUAUAUAAGAUGAGGUGUUUCAUUGUGUUAUUCUUAUCUUGUUCUGUGUUUACGAAUCAUAAUAUGGCGCCCUUGCUGGUACAAUGUUGUUAUGAGGCGGUGAUGAUGAAACGAUUUUUGAGCAAAAUAGUAGUAUGAAGACCCGAUCCGUAUCUUGGCGGGGCAAUCCAGAUAGCAACUGCGAUUGCAGCCAUGGCGGAUUUGGGCGUCACAUAUCCGACUACAACAGAUCUGAGCCUCUUAUCUGUCAGCUGAUUACUCGAUCUAUGAGUGUUGUUUUAAAAAGACUUGUUUCCAAAAAGGGUUAGUGAUGCGGCUUGUUACUCGUUUGCCUUCUGUUUCGAUGUGAUUUCCCCCGAUAUUCAACACCCCUUCUUCCAGAUUACAUGGGAUCGAACUCGGAUCAUCUGAUCUUCCGAUUCGAUUGCUUGUUGAAUUUAUUGCUAUGUUUCUUCUAUUAUCUUUUCUUUUUUUACCGAAUACGGUGAAAUUAUAUAUUGGUACUGCUUCUGAUGUUGUACUUCGUAGGUAGCACCGCUUGCGACAUACUAAACUCCAAACACCCCUCUUUCUUCAUUAGAGGUUGAGUGAAUUUGUCGUUGUUGUCUGAGUGAAUGGAACGAAGGUUGAGACUUACAGUAUGUUGGCGGCGUAAUAUCCGGAGGCUUGGCAGUAGAAACUGGGGUUUUCACCGUUGAAGCAGUCUCGUUGUUUGCAGCCAUGGCGGAGGCUGUGAUGAUAUAAUGUAGCGAGCAAAAUCGGAGUUUGUGGAUCCUAUCUGUAUCUUGGCUUGGCAACAUAUUAGAGGUGCACAAACCGGGUUUUUUUUUAUUAAACUGGAUUGGGCUUAAAACCGGUUCUGGUUUCGUCAACAAAGUUAAAACCGGAUUAAACCCGAACCAGUUUUAAAGGACAAUUACUGUCUGUGAAGGUUGAUAUUCACUUGCAUCUGUGAUUGCAGCCAUGGCAGAUUCGGGCCAAACAAGUCCAUUGCAGCAUAUCUGAGCCUUCGAUUCUCAUCAGCAGCAAACUUGUAUUUGAUCAUGUGGAUGUUAAUUAAUUGGUCCUUGGAAAGCAUGACCUUUUGAAUUACGAUCAUCUAGUGUUUGAUUGACCCGCUAAUUGCAUACGUAAUCUUACUACAGUUUGGUCUGACUGGUGCAAGCGUGGUCAAGGUGUUUAAAUUUUUAUUGGUCCGGGUGUUGCAGCUUGGCUUCGGCAAUUUUCUAAACUACAGUUUGUUCAGUUAAAAUGGCUAUGAUGAUGGAAAUCAUUGAGCAAACUCAGAAUUUACAGAUCUGCUUCGUUUCUUGGCUAGGCAACUUGGUCGGUAUGCAUAUGAUACAUGCAACUGUGAUUGCAGCCAUGGCGGAUUUUGACAGUAACUAGAUUCCGAUGAUAACAUAUCUUAGCCUCAAAACCUCCGCAACCCAUGAUCUUCGAUUUCCCCCCAAAUAUUCAACACCAUAUGUAAUGCCUUCUGUCUACCGUACAUUUUCAUUCCUGUGAUCUUGUUGCUUCCUUCAAAUAUUAUUUUCCGACAAUACAAUGUAAAACAUAUCGGUUUUCUUUUGGUCUUGACUCUUGCUCUUGGUAGAGGCUACAUUAUGAGGAAAAAAACAGCAAUGUGUAGAGGCGAUGAUGAUGAUGAAUUUGUCGUCGUUUGAGUGGAUCGAACAAAGCUUGAAACAGACCGUACCUUGGCGGCGUAAUAUCCAUGGCGGUAAAAUGCCAUUUUUUACACUGCAUAAAAGAGUAAAAUGUCAUUCUCGUCCUUGAGGUUUGGUCAAUUUUGCGACUUUUGUCCAAAGGUUUGUUUUUUCACAUUUGGAUCCAAAAGGAUUGAAAUCUUGCCAUUUUCAUCUGGCUCGUUAAUUCCAUCCAUUUUUCUCCGUUAAGUCAGAGGUAUUUUCAUACAUAUAGUGAAAAGGGCCGAAUUGCGCCUUGUUGUUCCAUAUAUAAAGGCUAUGACGAUGGAAAUUAUUUCGAGCAAAGUCGGAAUUUACAGAUCUGAUCCGUAUCUUGGCUAGGCAACUUGGUCGGUAUGUAUUUGAUGCAUGCAACUGUGAUUGCAGCAAUGGCGGAUUUUGAAAAUAAAUUCCAAUGAUAACAUAUCUGAGCUGCAAAACCUUUAUCCUUGGAGAUAAAAGAACAUCUAUCUACCUUGAGGUGCACAUUUCGGGUUUUUUUCCCCAAACCGGUUCAGGUUAAAAUCGCUUCAGUUUGGACGACCAAGAACAGUCAAAACUGGUAUUUAGUGAAACUGGUUUACAAGCAAUAUGCCAGCCAAUUACAAACAAGUGGCAUGUAAACAGGCAACAAGCUACACCCAUAGUUGUUAAAAGUCAUCGCCUCUUGCGCCUAAGCCCAAUUUCCUAGCUAGGCGAGGCAAUUGAGUCAAGGCAAUUGCGCUUUAAUUCUCCUUGGGUGCGCCUAACGCCUUAAUAACUAUGGCUACACCGCAAACCCUUUUGCUCUUCUCUACAUUUAUAAUAGCAGCCUUAAAAUAUGAGAUGAGGUGUUAUAUUGUGUUGUUCUCAUGUGAACCGAGACUCGGGGGAGAUUGAGGAGGUUUCUAAGAGUAUCUUCCAUCUUGCCAUUUGAUCUUUUCAUCAACUAUGAGUUGGUGAUUCUGCUCUAUCUUUUUUUGUGUUGGUGGUGCUAAUUGUUUGAAAGUACGAGGCAAUGAUGAUAAAUGUAGGUUGAGCAAAAUAGUAGUUUGUGGAACCAAUCUGUAUCUUGGCUCGGCAAUCCAGGCAAUCCAGUUGGCAAUCGUUGUGUUUGGAGAUUCUCUCUGGAGUGAACCAAACGAAGGUUGAGACUUACCGUAUCUUGGCGGGGUAAAUAUCAGAGGUUUCGCGGUAGAAAUUGGUGUGUUUACCGUUGAAGCAGCCGUGAUGUUUGCAGCCAUGGCGGUUUGAACCUAUUUGUUUUGAUUAUUAUUAACAUAUCUGAGCCUCUCUUAAUUCUUGUUUUUCAUAUUUUAGUUUAAAGUUUUCUUACUUGUACAACUCUUGGAUUUAGGGUUUUGACUUUUUAUAAAUAUGUUUCCAGAUUACUUAUUAACAA